GGUUAAGCGACUAAGCGUACACGGUGGAUGCCCUGGCAGUCAGAGGCGAUGAAGGACGUGCUAAUCUGCGAUAAGCGUCGGUAAGGUGAUAUGAACCGUUAUAACCGGCGAUUUCCGAAUGGGGAAACCCAGUGUGAUUCGUCACACUAUCAUUAACUGAAUCCAUAGGUUAAUGAGGCGAACCGGGGGAACUGAAACAUCUAAGUACCCCGAGGAAAAGAAAUCAACCGAGAUUCCCCCAGUAGCGGCGAGCGAACGGGGAGGAGCCCAGAGCCUGAAUCAGUGUGUGUGUUAGUGGAAGCGUCUGGAAAGGCGCGCGAUACAGGGUGACAGCCCCGUACACAAAAAUGCACAUGCUGUGAGCUCGAUGAGUAGGGCGGGACACGUGGUAUCCUGUCUGAAUAUGGGGGGACCAUCCUCCAAGGCUAAAUACUCCUGACUGACCGAUAGUGAACCAGUACCGUGAGGGAAAGGCGAAAAGAACCCCGGCGAGGGGAGUGAAAAAGAACCUGAAACCGUGUACGUACAAGCAGUGGGAGCACAGAGCAAUCUGUGUGACUGCGUACCUUUUGUAUAAUGGGUCAGCGACUUAUAUUCUGUAGCAAGGUUAACCGAAUAGGGGAGCCGAAGGGAAACCGAGUCUUAACUGGGCGUUAAGUUGCAGGGUAUAGACCCGAAACCCGGUGAUCUAGCCAUGGGCAGGUUGAAGGUUGGGUAACACUAACUGGAGGACCGAACCGACUAAUGUUGAAAAAUUAGCGGAUGACUUGUGGCUGGGGGUGAAAGGCCAAUCAAACCGGGAGAUAGCUGGUUCUCCCCGAAAGCUAUUUAGGUAGCGCCUCGUGAAUUCAUCUCCGGGGGUAGAGCACUGUUUCGGCAAGGGGGUCAUCCCGACUUACCAACCCGAUGCAAACUGCGAAUACCGGAGAAUGUUAUCACGGGAGACACACGGCGGGUGCUAACGUCCGUCGUGAAGAGGGAAACAACCCAGACCGCCAGCUAAGGUCCCAAAGUCAUGGUUAAGUGGGAAACGAUGUGGGAAGGCCCAGACAGCCAGGAUGUUGGCUUAGAAGCAGCCAUCAUUUAAAGAAAGCGUAAUAGCUCACUGGUCGAGUCGGCCUGCGCGGAAGAUGUAACGGGGCUAAACCAUGCACCGAAGCUGCGGCAGCGACGCUUAUGCGUUGUUGGGUAGGGGAGCGUUCUGUAAGCCUGUGAAGGUGUACUGUGAGGUAUGCUGGAGGUAUCAGAAGUGCGAAUGCUGACAUAAGUAACGAUAAAGCGGGUGAAAAGCCCGCUCGCCGGAAGACCAAGGGUUCCUGUCCAACGUUAAUCGGGGCAGGGUGAGUCGACCCCUAAGGCGAGGCCGAAAGGCGUAGUCGAUGGGAAACAGGUUAAUAUUCCUGUACUUGGUGUUACUGCGAAGGGGGGACGGAGAAGGCUAUGUUGGCCGGGCGACGGUUGUCCCGGUUUAAGCGUGUAGGCUGGUUUUCCAGGCAAAUCCGGAAAAUCAAGGCUGAGGCGUGAUGACGAGGCACUACGGUGCUGAAGCAACAAAUGCCCUGCUUCCAGGAAAAGCCUCUAAGCAUCAGGUAACAUCAAAUCGUACCCCAAACCGACACAGGUGGUCAGGUAGAGAAUACCAAGGCGCUUGAGAGAACUCGGGUGAAGGAACUAGGCAAAAUGGUGCCGUAACUUCGGGAGAAGGCACGCUGAUAUGUAGGUGAAGUCCCUCGCGGAUGGAGCUGAAAUCAGUCGAAGAUACCAGCUGGCUGCAACUGUUUAUUAAAAACACAGCACUGUGCAAACACGAAAGUGGACGUAUACGGUGUGACGCCUGCCCGGUGCCGGAAGGUUAAUUGAUGGGGUUAGCGCAAGCGAAGCUCUUGAUCGAAGCCCCGGUAAACGGCGGCCGUAACUAUAACGGUCCUAAGGUAGCGAAAUUCCUUGUCGGGUAAGUUCCGACCUGCACGAAUGGCGUAAUGAUGGCCAGGCUGUCUCCACCCGAGACUCAGUGAAAUUGAACUCGCUGUGAAGAUGCAGUGUACCCGCGGCAAGACGGAAAGACCCCGUGAACCUUUACUAUAGCUUGACACUGAACAUUGAGCCUUGAUGUGUAGGAUAGGUGGGAGGCUUUGAAGUGUGGACGCCAGUCUGCAUGGAGCCGACCUUGAAAUACCACCCUUUAAUGUUUGAUGUUCUAACGUUGACCCGUAAUCCGGGUUGCGGACAGUGUCUGGUGGGUAGUUUGACUGGGGCGGUCUCCUCCUAAAGAGUAACGGAGGAGCACGAAGGUUGGCUAAUCCUGGUCGGACAUCAGGAGGUUAGUGCAAUGGCAUAAGCCAGCUUGACUGCGAGCGUGACGGCGCGAGCAGGUGCGAAAGCAGGUCAUAGUGAUCCGGUGGUUCUGAAUGGAAGGGCCAUCGCUCAACGGAUAAAAGGUACUCCGGGGAUAACAGGCUGAUACCGCCCAAGAGUUCAUAUCGACGGCGGUGUUUGGCACCUCGAUGUCGGCUCAUCACAUCCUGGGGCUGAAGUAGGUCCCAAGGGUAUGGCUGUUCGCCAUUUAAAGUGGUACGCGAGCUGGGUUUAGAACGUCGUGAGACAGUUCGGUCCCUAUCUGCCGUGGGCGCUGGAGAAUUGAGGGGGGCUGCUCCUAGUACGAGAGGACCGGAGUGGACGCAUCACUGGUGUUCGGGUUGUCAUGCCAAUGGCACUGCCCGGUAGCUAAAUGCGGAAGAGAUAAGUGCUGAAAGCAUCUAAGCACGAAACUUGCCCCGAGAUGAGUUCUCCCUGACUCCUUGAGAGUCCUGAAGGAACGUUGAAGACGACGACGUUGAUAGGCCGGGUGUGUAAGCGCAGCGAUGCGUUGAGCUAACCGGUACUAAUGAACCGUGAGGCUUAACCUU
rnacentral:rRNA from 1 species